CCUACGGGGGGGCAGCAGUGAGGAAUAUUGGUCAAUGGCCGGAAGGCUGAACCAGCCAAGUCGCGUGAGGGAAUAAGGCCCUAUGGGUCGUAAACCUCUUUUGUCAGGGAACAAAGGCGGGGACGUGUCCCCGGAUGAGUGUACCUGAAGAAAAAGCAUCGGCUAACUCCGUGCCAGCAGCCGCGGUAAUACGGAGGAUGCGAGCGUUAUCCGGAUUUAGUGGGUUUAAAGGGUGCGCAGGCGGUCUGUUAAGUCAGCGGUAAAAGCCCGGGGCUCAACCCCGGCCCGCCGUUGAAACUGGCAGUCUCGAGUUGGAGAGAAGUAUGCGGAAUGCGCGGUGUAGCGGUGAAAUGCAUAGAUAUCGCGCAGAACUCCGAUUGCGAAGGCAGCAUGCCGGCUCCACACUGACGCUGAGGCACGAAAGCGUGGGUAUCGAACAGGAUUAGAUACCCUUGUAGUC
rnacentral:rRNA from 1 species